GGGGGUUCUGAUAAAGCUACAAAAUCUAGUUCAGAGAUUGUGGAGGUUGAACCAACGACAAACAAAUGGAAGUCUAGUGGGACCAUUGCUCCGCAAGUUAGAAGCUUACGGAAACCAAAUAAUGAUCAAGUUGCCAUUGCAAUAGAUAUGGAUGGCAGUAGUCCGGGGCUGGAGGAUGAUGAUGAUGAUGAUAAAGCUCACGGUUUUAAG